UGAGCAAUGAAUCUUUUGGUACUAUUACAUUUUAGAAGGUCGUAGCGAAUUACGUAAAUAAUAGUCGUGUGAUUAGCAAAACACUAUAUAUAUUCCUAUGAAUCACUUCACUUACUGAACGUAAUAUAUACUAUAAAAAAUAUAUAAUAUUAUAGUAUAUUUAGUUGAGA
rnacentral:rRNA from 1 species